CCUACGGGAGGCAGCAGUAGGGAAUUUUCGGCAAUGGGGGGAACCCUGACCGAGCAGCGCCGCGUGAACGAAGAAGUUAUUCGUAAUGUAAAGUUCUUUUAACGGGGAAGAAAGAGAAAUUUGACGGUACCUGAAGAAUAAGCUCCAGCUAAAUACGUGCCAGCAGCCGCGGUAAUACGUAGGGAGCGAGCGUUAUCCGGAAUAAUUGGGCGAAAGGGGUGCGUAGAUGGCAUAGAAAGUCUUGUUGAAAAAUGCUGGGCCCAACCCAGUAGGGCAAAAGAUACUGCAAAGCUAGAGUAUGCCAGAGGCAAGUGGAACUACAGGUGUAGCGGUAAAAUGCGUAAAUAUAUGUAAGAACACCAGUGGCGAAGGCGGCUUGCUGGGUCGAUACUGACAUUGAGGCACGAAAGCGUGGGGAGCAAACAGGAUUAGAUACCCUAGUAGUC
rnacentral:rRNA from 1 species